UAGAGUCACCAAAGGGAAUCCCCGACCCCGGAUGGGUUUUGGAUCUGAUAAAUGCACGCGUCCCCGCCCGAGAGGGAGGGUCGGCGCUGGUUCGCAUGUAUUAGCUCUGGAAUUGCCACAGUUAUCCAAGUAGAGCGAUCAAAGGGACCAUAACUGAUUUAAUGAGCCAUUCGCAGUUUCACUGUACCGGCUGUGUGUACUUAGACCUGCAUGGCUUAAUCUUUGAGACAAGCAUAUGUUACUGGCAGGAUCAACCAGGCUCCCUUUCCGGAAUCGAACCCUGAUUCCCCGUUACCCGUGGUCACCAUGGUAGGCGCCGCAAAGGGCGCGCGAUCGGCCCGAGGUUAUCUAGAGUCACCAAAGGGACCGGGGCGGGGACGAAUCCCCGACCCCGGAUGGGUUUUGGAUCUGAUAAAUGCACGCGU